rnacentral:rRNA from 1 species
CCUACGGGAGGCAGCAGUGGGGAAUAUUGGGCAAUGGGCGCAAGCCUGACCCAGCAACGCCGCGUGAAGGAAUAAGGCUUUCGGGUUGUAAACUUCUUUUAAGAGGGAAGAGCAGCAAACGGUACCUCUUGAAUAAGCCACGGUUAACUACGUGCCAGCAGCCGCGGUAAUACGUAGGUGGCAAGCGUUGUCCGGAUUUACUGGGUGUAAAGGGCGUGUAGCAGGGCUGACAAGUCAGAUGUGAAAUCCCGUGGCUCAACCACCGAACUGCAUUUGAAACUGUCGGUCUUGAGUAUCGGUGAGGCAGGCGGAAUUCCUAGUGUAGCGGUGAAAUGCGUAGAUAGUAGGAGGAACACCAGUGGCGAAGGCGGCCUGCUGGACGACGACUGACAGUGAGGCGCGAAAGCGUGGGGAGCAAACAGGAUUAGAUACCCUUGUAGUC